AGCGAACGCUGGCGGCAGGCUUAACACAUGCAAGUCGAGCGGGCCCUUCGGGGUCAGCGGCAGACGGGUGAGUAACACGUGGGAACGUACCCUUUGGUUCGGAAUAACGCUGGGAAACUAGCGCUAAUACCGGAUACGCCCUUUUGGGGAAAGGCUUGCUGCCGAAGGAUCGGCCCGCGUCUGAUUAGCUAGUUGGUGGGGUAAUGGCCUACCAAGGCGACGAUCAGUAGCUGGUCUGAGAGGAUGAUCAGCCACACUGGGACUGAGACACGGCGCAGACUCCUACGGGAGGCAGCAGUGGGGAAUAUUGGACAAUGGGCGCAAGCAUGAUCCAGCCAUGCCGCGUGAGUGAUGAAGGCCUUAGGGUUGUAAAGCUCUUUUGUCCGGGACGAUAAUGACGGUACCGGAAGAAUAAGCCCCGGCUAACUUCGUG
rnacentral:rRNA from 1 species